rnacentral:lncRNA from 1 species
AUAAACAAAUAUAUCAUACAUAUGUAAAUGUCGAUACAUAAGAUGUCCAACAAAAUCUGUACUUUUCAAGUUCACAUCAUUCCUAUAAGUAUGUUUAAUAAAAAAAAACAAGGUACCAUAUUCGAUAUCACUAAAUUAUAUUCCAAUAAUCUGUGUCUUGAAGAAAUAUCAUCUAGUAGCUUAUGUGUUCCAAUACAAUACACCAAUAGUAUUGAUUUUUCCUGUAAAAAAGAUGAGUAUAAUUACACUUCAAAAAUAAAUCAAAAAAAAUAUAAACACAAAUUGAAUAAGAACCGUAGAGAAGCAUAGCUUUACAUGAGAAAGAAAUUCAGUCAUGGAGCUUCCAUUAGUCUAAAUUUAUCCUUACCAAGAAUGAUGGCUCUGUUUCAUAUAAACCUCUGAAUGCAGAUUUGACUCUUAAGGGUGCAUUAAAUUUUCAACUACUAUUCGGACUGAAUUAAAAUCAAGCAGUGAAUUCCAUUUUGCAUAUAGACAUGUUUUUAAUUCUUAUUUUUUAUAAUAGUGAUGCAGUACAAUUGAUUUUGUAGAUUGUUGAUUGAGUCACUUAUUCCUCGGGAAUAUAAAUAUCCACAAUUUAAAAAAAAAUCAAGAAAUAUCUAUGCCUAAUAGAAAAACAAUACAAGAAUCACUAUCAAAUAAUAUAUGUCUAAUAAGAAAAUAAUACAAGUAUGACUAUCAGUGAAUAAAGCCUUACCCCUAUCUUAUGAUUGUAAAUUUAAAGAGGUUUUCAAAGGACUCUCAGUCCAAGUAACACACAUAGCCUUUGGAUAUAUUAUGAAUAUAAAAUUUCUUAACAAAAUAAUUAACUUAUAACGGCACUUGAAAUAGACAUCAAAAAUAGAGGUGGAAAAUGCAAAAUAGGAUUAUAUUAUUAAAUAAAAAUGUAGAAAGAAAAAAUUAGUUGAGUAUGAAUAAAAUGCCGCAAUUCGUAGAAUGAUUUGAUGAGAAAUUGAAAAGCUAAUGGAAAAAAGAUUUCACCCGAAACACAUAAAAGUCAAAAUGGAAAAAAAAGGGGAGCAGUAUAAUUCUGUCAUGGGAAUGCUAUACAAUCUAAUCUACUUGUAUAAUAUCAAAUCAGCUCAAGGUUCAUAGUACUCCAACAAAUAUUGCCACACUUUAUGUAGCCAAUUCAAUUUAAUGAAACCUUAUUUUGAAUGGAAUCUUUGACACAUAUGCCUUCUCUACUUUUCUUGCUAGUGAGAAACUUUGAGGAUGGAACAACUUUCAACGUAAUCAAAACCAUCAGCAAAAAGUAUACAAGAAAAUUGAGAGGUGGUGUGCAUACCUGAACUUAGCAAAAAUGCAUAAUUUAGGCGUUAAUUUUCUAAAAAUCAUAAUCAUCAACUAUGUCAUACCAUCUAACAAAUGGGUGAAAUAAAAAAUAGUAUAAGACACUAAAGCUUUCAGUACAUGGAGAAUUUGGGGAAGGGACAAAUAAGAAGUGUUGAUGGUAUGUAGUCUGGCCCCAUAUUUCCGGAAGAGGCUUUUUCCUCAACUUGAACUUAUGACCUCUUUGCUAAUGUAAAAAUUUUUACUAUAUUGAUAUGGAAUUUUCUAGCAAUUUUACAUCAGUAUUUUUGUAAUCUAGUUGGUAAGAAGGGGAAAUAUAACAAUGCCAUAGUAAUAAUUCAUAAAGCAGUAUUACCUGUGUUUGCAAAGGUACUUUCAUAACCCUCAAAGACCAAGAAAAUAACCCAACAACAAAAAGGUUAUCAUAUAAUUGAUAAACAAAAUAAAAUAGUCAAAUUAAAACUAGGAAAAUAAUAAUUAAAAAAAAUUAACGGAACUUUGAAUAUGAUUGCAUUAAUAACCCAGAAACAUCACACUUAGUAUUUCCGUUCAUAGCUACCAUUCAUUCUAUUAGAAUUUUCUCUAAUGUUGACCUAAAAUCAUGAAAUUACACCUCUUCAUAUUUUAAAUUUUGACCAAAUGUAGAACUUAAAGGAAAUACUUAUUAACUAAUUUAGGGUUUCAGGAAGAGGGAAUGAAAAAAAUUGGGGAAUUUACCUCUUAAAGGAAUGUGUCAUGUUAUUAUCACCAUCGCCUAUCAAUCUCCGGGCCAUUCUUGUAAGCUCUCUUCACAUGCAAUAAAAAAUAAAAAUGAAAUCUAGCUAAAGUAAA